rnacentral:tRNA from 1 species
GCCGAAAUAGCUCAGUUGGGAGAGCAUUAGACUGUAGAUCGAAAGUCCCUGGUUCGGUCCCGGGUUUUGGCA